rnacentral:lncRNA from 1 species
CUGCUUGCCUGUACUCCAUCCUGCCACCCUGUGAAGAAGGUUCCUGCUUCUCCUUUACCUUCUGCCAUGACUGUACUAUAGUAGGGACUGGAAAUUCAACGUGAAAAAAAGUUAAAUCUCUGCUGCCUUAAAAUAAUCAGAAUGUAAGGAGAAAAUGUUUUCAGCUGGAACUUAAAUAGACCGGCCACAAAUAACCCGUAAUUCUCUAUAAAUGGACUGUCAUGCUGAGAACAGCUUUAUGCCACGCUGAUCCUAGCUCCACAAGAGCCGGCUAAGCUACACUUACCCAGUAGCAGGUCACACUCCAGAGCCCACUGGAUUCUUGCUGACACAAUAAGUACGCUUCCAGCUGGGGCCAAGAACAAUCUGGACUCAGGCAGAGUGUGAAUUACAGUGAAGAGCUACCACCCUCCUAACCACAGCCAAUCAACAGAAAAUAAACACAGACACUGAAGAGUCCAGACACAUGGAAAGCCCUUUUCAUUAAGAGAAAUGACUUGAAAAGAAAACCAGACAUAUGUCUAAGGAUGUUUUUCAUGAUCUCAUCGAAGCCACUCCAAUGAGGAAAGAAACAGAGAAUGCUGGUCCUUUUUCAUCCAGCAUGAGCAAUAUGAACUUGAAUAAAGGUAAUGUGCCAAGGAUUCAAAUAAACACACUUUCUUGUAUCUGCCCUACAAAUGCAAAGUUCUCUCCAGGCUUUGAACUUAAUCCAGCAGUAGGCAGG